rnacentral:rRNA from 1 species
UACAGAGGUCCCAAGCGUUGUUCGGAUUCACUGGGCGUAAAGGGUGCGUAGGUGGCGAGGUAAGUCGGAUGUGAAAGCUCGGAGCUCAACUCCGAAAUGGCAUUGGAAACUACCUUGCUCGAGGGUUGGGAGGGGGGACUGGAAUGCUUGGUGUAGCAGUGAAAUGCGUAGAUAUCAAGCGGAACACCAGUGGCGAAGGCGAGUCCCUGGACAACUCCUGACACUGAGGCACGAAAGCUAGGGGAGCAAACAGG